GAAGCGCACGUUGAUCUGAUUGUGCUUUAUUCUCGGUAGUGAAGAAGCUGGAGACCUAAGGGCCUAGGGAAGCGGAGGGCACGCUUUCGGGGAGAACGGGACCGUCUCCCUCGGUAACGGGGUGCCAGAUGGAAACCUUUCUUAUAGAAGCUGCACAUCAGACCCAUGAACCCACAGGACAAAACAUUCUAUUCAAGGAGGGAACAGCAAGAAGGAAAAGGUCAACAUUCCUAGGGUCCCAUGGGAACAGAAAGUUUUGAGGGAGUUUACUGUUUGUGCAAGAUGACUGGUUGGGUAAAGAAGUCCAAAGUUUAUUAUCUGCAGAACAAACAAAGCCUGGGCAAAGAGGGCGUGGGAAGCAAGUGGAGCCCCCAGGACUUGCUCUGUGACCUGGAGUCCCAAGGAUGGCCAGGCCAGCUCUGUAGAGGUUGGCUCCUUCAGUGUGGACAUGUGGAAUGCUGUGAAGAAGCAAGGCAAAGUGGAAUCAGAACAUGGCGGGUAGAGGCUGACUACCUGGAUUCAAAUCCCUGCUCCGUCAUCUGCUACCUGUGUGACUUGGGAAGGAAACCCCAUCUUGCUGAUACUCUCCUGGAUCAAAUUCCCCUGCUGACUUCCUUCCCUCGAUUGCCUCGCAUGUUUGACAGUGAACAAGGAGCCUGAAGACAACCAGAAAAGCAACUCAGCAUCUGGCUUUCUGUGGCCUGGGAGAAGAAGGCAGAGACCGGCGCCCACCCACAGAGUUCGUCCUGCGCAGAAUCAACCCUGGCUCCAAGCUCCUCUCUCCCUGGCGGGAGCAGACUGGAAUAAGAGGCAUGGGUUCAUUCCUCUAAAAACCCCCACGCUGGGAGGAGAGGACCCACAACAGCCCGAUGCUGGGAGCCGGCACCCCCGCUCCACCACUGAUCAGCUCUAGGUCUUCCCAGGAGUCUGGGGGGACCCAUCUUUCUGGCCUUCAUCCCUGCCACCGGCUGCAUUUUCUCUACACGCUUGAAAACUCAUUUGAAAAACCAGAGAAGCUGAGCGAACCUGGAGAGGCUGGCAGCCCUUUUUUCCAGAAGAAGGACUGGGCCUCCCAGUUUUGACUGUCAGCUGUGGUGCCUGGCGGCCCCGCCGGUUGGCAUCCUGACAGGAUCUCAAGUCCAGAGCAGCAAGUAAACAUGGAUGACAUUGCAGCGCGAGGGGGACGCGAGCACAUGAUGACUCGAGGCACCUGCAGCUGCUUGCACCCAAAUCAAAGUACAGGCUGAGCUCACUGGGACGGAAAAGCACGGAAUUUACCGGGAGUGAGUUGGCUCCGUGCGAGAUCAAUGCUUAAUUCAAAGGAAUGACUUUCUAGUAGUGGAAUUUCUAGUAUUCGGCACCUUCUGAGGGAUGGGAGUGGGGACAAGAGGUCCUUUCCUGCCUUUCCUCUAACCAUGCCACGUCACUCAGCACCUACAUGUGAGGUGAGCUCUAUGUGUACCUCUAAGUCAGGAGUCAGCAAACUAUGACCCCUGAUUUUGUAAAUUAAGUUUUAUUGGGCCGUGGCCAUGCCCAUCUGCUUACUUAUUGUUUCUGGCUGCUUUCUGGCCUAAUGGUAGAGUUGUGGGGUUGAGACAGAGAAUGUAUGGCCCGCAAAGACUAAAAUAUUUACUCUCUGGUCCUUUACAGAAAAGAUUUGCCAACCCCAGUCUAGGUUAACAUGUAGCUUAGAUUGACUAUAGUUUAGAGACCUGGGUAUGAUCCAAUCAGAACCUACUUUUGACUCUAUCAAAGGCUAUUUUCUCUAAAAAUAUAAAGCAUGAAAAAACAAACCAUAUGUUCAGGUAUUUAGAAAAAUAAUACUAAUGCUAUCUCAAAGUAAAGCCUUUUACUUUUAUCUGAUCUAAGACUCACAGUAACCCAGGGGUAGAUAUUGUUAACCCAGUUUUAGAGGUAGUAAAACUGUGGCUUUGGGAUGUUCAAUAACUUGGUCUAUGUUUCAUAGUCGGUAAGGGGUGAGGCUGGGAUUCAAAUCUGGGCUGAGGGGAGAUCUUAACCACCUCUUCUCUAGACUCUUCAAAUGGUGACUAUUACUACCACGUAUCAAGCAUUUAUUAAAUACCAGGUACUAUUAGUCUGACUUCCCACAUUUUCUCAUUCAAUCUUUAAACCGACUCAGGUAGGAAUUUGCAGCCCGAUUCCACAUCUAAAGUUUCUGCAGCUUUUAUUAAGAGUUCCCCAAAUGAAUGACCUCAACAGCAAUGACGGAUGACGACCCUUUAUCAGCCCUCCACCUCUCUGAUGGAGGCAGAGAUCCUGUUAAUUCUGCUCCUCCCUGGGGGGUUCAGCUGCUUUCCCACCUUCUUCUGAGCUGGGAGAGCUCAGUGUGUACCCUCCCUCUCCCACAUCAAGGCAGCUGGGCCUGUCCUGCAGAGUGGCAGGUGGUAGAGAGACUCUGGGUGUCUAGUUGGGAGAUGGGAGGGACAGAAUGGACCAAAGCAUGGUUUGGCUAAAACGACGAGAGAAGUGUGAUUUCUCAGCUGCUGACAUGCUCUGGCUCAGGAAAGGCAACAACACUAGUGUUUCCAGCUUCCUCAUCGGUCGGAGCCACCGGGUCCCAGAUCAGCAGCACUCUGGGCCACCACACCACCAACGCCGCACACUGCGCAUGCUCUCUCGCCUUCCCAACCGCCCUCACUGCCAGGAUGAAGUGCUGUCUCUCAAAUGACUCUGCUGUUGACUGAUGAUACCACCACGGGCACUCCGGGCCAGAUGCACCGGGACAAUCUACUGUCUGUGUAAACAUUUAGAACCAUGUUGCUAAAAUUGUUAUAUGUCUACUUUUUCUAAGACCUUCAAGAUACCCAGUUCUGCCCAAGGAUCAACUAGAACAAAGAUGUUCUGAGUGGCCAUGUCACUCAGCAGUGUGGCUUUAUUACUGCUCGGUUCCUCCUUGGACUUGAAUUCUUCCCGUUUUGCACUGUUUCUGUCAGAAAAGAUAAAAGGUGGGAUUCGAGAAACUCAU